rnacentral:sRNA from 1 species
CCUGCCGCCGGACGGAACGGGUCGCGAGGGUUGGGGAACCCGAUGACCGACUCGCACCGAGAGCCGCGAAGGUCCUAGGGAGCCUGAACGGAGCGCUCCGGCGAAGGAG